rnacentral:lncRNA from 1 species
AAGCAGACCUGGCCUCCAGUUCUUCCUGAAUCCUUCAGUCCCUACUUGGCACUUCCUUCAACCCUGAACUUCCAGCCCAGAGGCUGGGCUGCUCUUCCUCAGAGUCUCUUUCUUAGAUAAAACAGACAUUUUGGUCUUCUCCAUCUCUCUUCUUUUCCUUCUCUCUCUUCUCUCUCUACCCACACACCUUUUUUCUCUUUCUCUCCCCACACCCUCUCUCCCACUGGUGACUUGCCUGGCCUUAAUCCUUGGCAUCAGUAACUUUGCCCAAGAGUAACUUGACAGUAAGCCUACAUUUAAUACAAUCUAAUCUGGUUUAAAUUGUCUCCUUUCUUCAGCGGAGAAAUUGCCUAUCUACUAGGCUGAGCAUGCCAAGAACAGUAUGAAGGCCAAGCAAGGCCCAGGCCUUGCUGAAAAGAUAUUCUAGUUGGUCAUGGCAGCAUACAUCCUUAAUCCUGGAACUCCCUAGGCAGAGGCAAGUAGAUCUCUGUGAGUUUGAAGUCAGCCUGAUUUACAUAGAGAGCUCCAGGCCAGCCAAGGGUACACUGUGAGACCCUCUCUUAGAGGUGCACGAUGUAGGGGUUAAUGUUUGAUUAAAGUGAAAGUCUUGUGUUUCUGUUUUUGUUUUUUGUUUUUAAAGACAGUUAGCCCAGCGUGGCCUGGAAUUCAGCAAUGGUUCUGCCUCAGCUUUCUGAGUGCUGGGAUUGCAGAUGUGACCCACCACACUUGGCUAGGGAGUGUCUUUAUUACAAGUUGACUUUUUUGAUUGUAUAUUACACACUGUGAGUUGGCCCUUUAGAUAUUAAUGGUAAAGAAUGGUGUGUGUGUGUGUGUGUGUGUGUGUGUGUGUGUGUGUGUGUGUGUGUGUGACUAAUGGGGGA